GACGAACGCCGGCGGCGUGCCUAAUACAUGCAAGUAGAACGCUGAAGCGAGGAGCUUGCUCUUCUUGGAUGAGUUGCGAACGGGUGAGUAACGCGUAGGUAACCUGCCUGGUAGCGGGGGAUAACUAUUGGAAACGAUAGCUAAUACCGCAUAAAAUUGAUUAUUGCAUGAUAAUUAAUUGAAAGAUGCAACUGCAUCACUACCAGAUGGACCUGCGUUGUAUUAGCUAGUUGGUGAGGUAACGGCUCACCAAGGCGACGAUACAUAGCCGACCUGAGAGGGUGAUCGGCCACACUGGGACUGAGACACGGCCCAGACUCCUACGGGAGGCAGCAGUAGGGAAUCUUCGGCAAUGGGGGGAACCCUGACCGAGCAACGCCGCGGGAGUGAAGAAGGUUUUCGGAUCGUAAAGCUCUGUUGUAAGAGAAGAACGGGUGUGAGAGUGGAAAGUUCACACUGUGACGGUAUCUUACCAGAAAGAGACGGCUAACUACGUG
rnacentral:rRNA from 1 species